GUCACCUAGCUGGCCAGCAGCAGGGAAGGCGUAUGUGGCCCCAGGGCGUGCAACCACCUUACCCAGUUUUACUUUUAAAACCUAAGUGUGGAACACUCAAGAAAUGUGUGUGACCUGGUGCCUGAGAGAGGGCACCUCAGUUGCCAAACAACAGUCAUCAGCCCUCCUUGUAUCUACUUGACUGAAGUCCAAAAGCCCAGCCAGAUGUUACCGUGGGGCCAGGCAGGAGUUCAUGCUGCUGG
rnacentral:lncRNA from 13 species